rnacentral:pre_miRNA from 1 species
UCACCUCCGCAGGCUGGCUGGCCCCCAGGCUGGGCUGGGCGAGUAUCUCUUCUACAAGCUAAUCCUCAAGCACCACUAGGAGC